rnacentral:rRNA from 1 species
UACGAAGGGGGCUAGCGUUGUUCGGAAUUACUGGGCGUAAAGCGCGCGUAGGCGGCUCAUGAAGGCUGUGGUGAAAGUCCGGGGCUCAACCUCGGAUCGGCCGUGGCGACUCGUGGGCUGGAGCACUGUAGAGGCGGGUGGAAUUCCGGGUGUAGCGGUGGAAUGCGUAGAGAUCCGGAAGAACACCAGUGGCGAAGGCGGCCCGCUGGGCAGUGGCUGACGCUGAGGCGCGACAGCGUGGGGAGCAAACAGG